GCCUGGAUGGCUCAGUCGGUUGAGCGUCUGACUUUGGCUCAGAUCACAAUCUCAUGGUUCGUGAGUUCGAGCCCCGCGUUGGGCU
rnacentral:tRNA from 1 species